GGGCACGCGCGGCCGCCAUUGUGCGGUGGGGCGGAGGCUGCGGCCCGUCGGUACCCGGCUAUCCCGAGAGGGAAAGCUGUCUCCGCGCCGGGCGCGUGGCCGUUCGCUGGAGGGGUGUACCCGGCGUGGGCCACGUGAAAGCCAUCGCGGUAUUGCUGCCGUGCUGCCUACUUACUGCCCGUUGUCCUUCCCUGGCUUCCUGCGCUCUGUGGCUGCAUGGUUUAGGCCUGCUCUGUUCUGUAGCACAUGGCCCAGUGCUGGGUUGGAACUUAGCUGCAUGCAUUUCUUUAUAGCUGUUGUGUUCCUUUAAUCUGCACUGCUCAGCCCUGAGGGAGUGCAUGACGUCAGGUCACUGAGCAGCUUUCAGCUCCCAUCUGAGCUUUGUGAUUUUCAGAAAGAGGAUUGCUCAUCAGAGGUUAAGAGUUCAGCACAGCAGUGCGUUGUCAUGCUCACUCCAUUUAGCAUUUGAGAGAGCCCAGCCUUAUCUAAGCUCAGCACCAGGUGGGCAAAGGCCUGAAAUCUCCUGAGUCAAGAUGUGGCCUUGGAUGAGCAUCAUAAUUUUCUGUGGCCCAAACGAUGUCGUCCAUGAAAUGGAGGCAUAGGCAGAGGGGUUGUGAGCUACAGUUCCAUCAUGCUGCUUCCAAGGAGCACACCACAGGCACCACACCACUGACAUGGGGGCAGUCAGAGCAGCACUGUCUUCCACUGCUGUUAUACAGGAGCAAGGCGAGCAGAGCUAUGCACAGCCCAUCUUCUAUGUGCUUGUCUCUAAUGGGUUUUCAAGUCGUGACUAACAAACACAUUUGAGAUGGUUGCUUUGUUUGUACACUCAAGAAUUUUGACAAGCAUUGGGUAAAAGUUAAGAAGUUCCUUUUGGCUUUGGAGAUUUCUUCUUCAAUGGAUGCAAAGAUAAUUGCUGCAGCCAGCCAAAGAGUUUUUUAGUGAUUAAUCUGCACAUCCUUUCUUCUUGUUUUUGUGAUAUCCGUGGGCUCACACAGGAGUAGCACCAGUCAUCACACAUGUAUUUUGCACUACCAUCCCUGCUCGGGGUGUUCCUUGCAACACAGCCCUGCACCAAGUGAAGCAAUUGGAAACUCAGUGUUGGUUCAGACAAGCAUACAGUGGAAUCAAUGCACAGUUUCUUAGAAAAUUACCUUGAUGCAUAGCAUCAACAGAAAAAAUGCAUAGCUUACAGUGCUUGUCUCAUUUAUUUAAUAGAUAUAUGGGAGGCUAGGCCUGAGUUUUGUUCACACUCAGGCCCUUCACUUGCAGAAGAAGUCUGAACACUGUUGUAGCAGCAGCACACCAGCUGUGCUCCGCAUGGUGCAUGUGCCCCCAGUGCCAGGGCUGUGCCAGGGCAUGUGCAGGUGCAAGGGAGACAUUUGCCACUCAGAACACCAUCUCUGCAUCUUUAGGGAGGUAUUCAACAGGUGGCACUUGGUGCAGGCCAUUUCAGAGGGUGUACAUACUAUGCUCUUGGUGGGACUCCUGCAGUCCUUGGUCUAGGUAGAAAACCAGCCCAAUAGCUGCACCUUCAACAUUAUUCUUGACUUCUGGAGACAGGUAUUGGAUUGCAUGUGUGAUGAAUGGGAAAAAUAAUGUAAAACUGCUGACAAAUGUAGUUAAAUUUAUGCUUUCAGGUUUUACACUGCAUUGGAUGAAAUGUGGCUGACAUGCCAGAAGGCUGUGCUGCCAUUCAGCAGGACCUGGACAGGCUGGAGAACUAGGUGGCCUCACCUGGAAUACUGUAUCCAGUUCUGGGCUCCCGAUACGAAAAAAAGACAGGGAUCUUCUGGAAAGGGUCCAGUAGAGACAAAGAUGAUAAAGAGCCUGGAGCACCUCUCUUACGAGCAAAGGCUGAGCGACCUGAGUCUGUUUAUCCUUCAAAAAAAGAAGACUGAGAGGAAAGAGUAAACCUACAUCGGAAAGAAGAAAUCAAGAAAGCCUAUUCUGCAAGUUCUUGGCAAUGCUCAACUACUUCAUGAACUCUACAGGGAAACUGAAGAUCCAGUUUGUCCAGCACACUGCGCAGUAAAACUUGAAUUUGGAUGACAUCAUGAUACCUAGAUACACAUGCUUAAAAUUAAAAGUAAUCAGUACUGCUGUUGUGAAAUGAUAGGCUUUAAAUUGACUUGUUGCACAAUAUGCACAAGGCAGCAUAUGCUGUCCUGCUUUCACGUUUCCUCCUUUUCCUUUUCUAAGAAAAUCUCUACUAUCUCAAUUAUGAACCAAAUGAAAAAUUCGGAGUACCUACACAUAAAGGAAAAAAAGUUAAUGUGGAUAAUGAAAUAUCUCUAAAAGCUUUCACUCAAUGACCCCAAGUGCCUUACAAGUAUCAGUUGGUUUUGUUUGUCCUUCACUACACCUCUAAUAGUGAUCGCCGUUAAGAAGUCACACUUGUACAUGCUGCUUGAUAGCAGCUGGGACCAGAGCCAUGCUAGGGCUGAAGGAGUCAGCAGUGGGGACAUGGUGUCACAUCCCAAGAAACCUCCAUAUAACAGGCAUCUGCAGGAAUGGGAUAUUUCCCUUCCUGAAUGGGCCUCAUCUCAGGUGGAGCGACUGUUUUCUCUUCUGGUGCAUCACUAUGAUACAUCACUGGGCCUUCUGAAGCUCCAUAUUCUACUGAAGAUCUUCUUUCAAGGAUGACAAACUAUCUCUGGCUGAGAUAGGCAACCACUGUGCCACUGUCUGUGCUUGGGCCACCCCUGUCUUAGGAAGGUGGAUCAGAUCUUUCAUCCACCCCUGAAUUUGCAAGGUCAUUUUAACUACAAUUUCAACUGUUUGGGUUAUUCGCUCUACUGCCUCUAAUGAAGAGAGGUCAGCCAAUAACCGUUUUUCAAUCAUACCGUAGCUUUCUUCUGCUCCAUGCCAAACCUGAGACCAGAACCCAACUGGGGUUCAAACGGAAUUCUGGUGCUGCCAUAGGCCUCAGCCAAACCCAUCCCGAGUUACAUGGACAUCUAGUUCAGCUGGAAGGGUGGUACUGAAUAUACCCAGCAUCUGUGCCUGUUUUAAGAGCUAAUUUUACUUGCUGGAAGGCCUCUUGUUUUGUUCUCCCCUGGUCCCAUUUUGUCCUUUCUUUUGUGAGUCACUGUAAAGGCCUCAGCAGCUGCACUAAGUGGGGUAUGAAGGAACACCAGUAUCCCAAUAUAUACCCAAAUUCUUGCAGCUGCCUUGGUGCUGUAGGGACUGGGAAUGCCUGAACCUUGUCUGUUAUCACACUGGGUAGUACUUGGGUCUUUCCUAACCAAACCACAUCCAGGAAUUUUGUUGACAGGCCUGGUCCUUUCACAUUCUGUGGGUUUAUAGCCCAUCCUUUCUCUCGUAGAUAGGUAGUCAAUGAGUCUACUGCCUUUCCUAAUGCCUCCAGUGAGUCAGACAUCAAUAUGAGAUCAUCGAUGUAAUGGUACUGUUUGAUGCUAUUGGGAUUAUUCCAAUCUGCUAGGUCAAGUACCACUAAGUUAUGACGAUAUGUAGAUGAGUGCACACACCCUUGUGGCAGGACCUAAAAGGUUCACUGCCUGUCUCCCCACAUAAAUGUAAACUGAUAUUGUGAUUCUUCAUGGAUGGAAAUCCUGAAGAAUGCAUUUGCCACAUGUAGGACACAAUGGUAGGUUUCUAGCUCCCUACUCAAUGUGUCCAUCAGGAAGGCAAUAUUGGGUAUGGCUGCAUGAAUGGAUGGUGUGACCUUAUUCACUUCUCUGUAAUUCACUGUCAUUCUCCAUGUGCUGUCUGACUUUCAUACUGACCAUAUGGGAGAACUAUACAGGCUAUUUGCAUAUCUAUGGCCAGUAUAUACUCCAGGACUGGGACAGUAAGCAUCUUGAGUAUAAAUACUCCUGGGGUGGAAGAUGCCCAACCCCCAGCUUCAACCAUGUCUGGGUUACAGGGAUGGUCUGUCCCCCAAACCCAGCAAUCAUCAUCCUAGCUGCAUGGAAUUUAGUUGGAUCACCAUAAAUUAUCAAGGUUUCUGCACCCAUGUCUACUAAUGCCAUCACUUGCUCUAUGUUCUUCUGGGACCGAAAAAUAGUUAAUUCAACAUCAGGCCUCAGUUUCCAUCUGGGGCCUCUAGAUGCAGGGGAGCUAGCAUCCCCCAUCAUGCAAAAAACCAUGCAAUCGCCAGUUCUUUUUCUUCAGGUGGCUUGAGCACAGUGGCCUGGAUCACCUGAGGAGGCUUUUUUCUUUUGUUAGGAACUACAAAGUCUUCUGAGAUCUAUGUUCUUGUUGGUACUUGUUCAAUAAUUCUUACCCCUGCUUUUUUGGGGGUGUUUUGUCCCUUGUCCUAUCACCAUCCACCCUCGUAAAUGGCUG